AGCGAACGCUGGCGGCAGGCCUAACACAUGCAAGUCGAACGGACCCUUCGGGGUUAGUGGCGGACGGGUGAGUAACACGUGGGAACGUGCCCUUUGGUUCGGAACAACUCAGGGAAACUUGAGCUAAUACCGAAUGUGCCCUUCGGGGGAAAGAUUUAUCGCCAUUGGAGCGGCCCGCGUCUGAUUAGCUAGUUGGUGGGGUAAUGGCCUACCAAGGCGACGAUCAGUAGCUGGUCUGAGAGGAUGAUCAGCCACAUUGGGACUGAGACACGGCCCAAACUCCUACGGGAGGCAGCAGUGGGGAAUCUUGCGCAAUGGGCGAAAGCCUGACGCAGCCAUGCCGCGUGAAUGAUAAAGGUCUUAGGAUUGUAAAAUUCUUUCACCGGGGACGAUAAUGACGGUACCCGGAGAAGAAGCCCCGGCUAACUUCGUGCCAGCCGCCGCUGUAAAAC
rnacentral:rRNA from 1 species